AGAGGGGCUUUGAAAAAAAUUGUUGCUAUUUAGAUGAGGACCAAAUGAAACAUUCUGUUCACCGCCAAUAAGAACCCUUGCUCCUCAAAACUCCCCCCUCUCUCGACCACCGAAGAAAACCCUACCUCACUCAGAUUUUGAAACCGAAACCCGACCCGUCGAAGGAGAGAUCCGCCUGAAGCACACCAUUCUGUCCUAACGAGGCACUGAGUUUGUAUCAAAACAUUAUACGAGCUACCGACUUCUUCAUGUGGCCGAAAUCUCCAGGUGUCCUCUGGCGCGAUGUAUUGACAGAGAAUGCUCGAAAGGAGUUCGAAGACGCCCGAUUUGAGAAGGAUCUGGAAAUUGUCGCUCCUCUGAUGUUUGGAGGGCCGGAUGUCUGCAGUCAGCUGUUGAUAAGCUUGUCAAGAAGCAAAAGCAGCAAAUUUAGGAUGAAAGCAAUGAAUCAAAUCGACGUUGAAGUUUUUUGGGCACGGAGUUGCUGUCAAGAUCCUUAAUAAUACAUAAGAAACUGCUGCAACUUUAAGCUGUUGGUUCAAUGCUUUAGAAGGAGAGAAUUAUUCUUGAUGUCGUGUAGAUUUUACACCUUAAUGGAUGGAAGUUGAAUGCCCCAAAGGUAUCUCAGGUACAGUAAUCUGAGACAUGAGUGGACGAAGAGAGGAAUUUCAUUAAGGUUCAUUCACCAGAAUCAUUAACAUUCACUCACCAUUUGGUUGGUCCUUAGGGAUUGGCAAAACUCAGGUAAUAAUAAUGUUGGCUUCCAUGUCUGCAUAUGUUUAUUUUAUAUAUUAUUGACAACUAUUUUUCUCAAAAUUUAUUCUUAUCCUGUUUGCUGUAAGUUUCCCUAAUCCCUAGGUCCAUCAGUAGAAUGAUUGUAUUUUGAUUUUAUACAUUAGUUUUUGCUGGAGUUGCAUUCCACUUAAACUCAGAUAAAAUAUAUUCGUGGGGUUAUUGGUUUGGAAGGAUCAGUUUUUUGUUGUCCAAUCCUUCAUAAUAGAUUAUUGUGCAUUAAGCAAAUGAUGAGCUGGCAACAUAGGAAAAAUUUGAUGCCUUCAUCUUACUUUCUCAGAUCAGAUGAAGAACUAGAGAAACGAGAAAUUUAGGCCGUCUCGAGCAAGAUUUCUUUGAUAGGUUACUUUUAAGGCUGCUUAUCUUUACGUUGUCGAAUUACUUAUGAAUGUUACUGUCAGUUCAAUGUCAAACCUGCUCCAUGUUUCUACUGUAGGGAUUUGGAUGAUCAAUUUUUAGGCAGUUUUACGUAUCAAAAAAAAACUUCUUAGGCAGUUUUACCGUUCAAAAUUGGUUGUUGUGUAUUUGAGCUCAUAAUGACUUGGCAGCAUUGGACAACUUUGAUGCAUUCUCCUUACUUCUUUGAAUCAGAUGAAGAACUAGAGAAGCAAGAAAUUCUGGUCAUCCCAAUUAAAUACACCCCUACCUUACGGUGAUAAAACUAUAAUCCAUCUCCUUUGCAUCACAUUUUGUAGAAAGACCACCAUCCUAGUUCAGUCCCUUUUCUAUAUAAUUCUAAUAAUAUAUGUCUCAUGUUGAUGUUAUAAAGUUUUUUGAUGAUGAUUAAAAGAAACUUGAAAGUUUUUUUUAUCAAUAUCCGCUUCUCCAAUUCCUGCCACCAGUCUAGGUCAAGUGUACAAAGCUCGGUUGAAGUACUCUGGCCAGGUUGUUGCUGUGAAGGUGCAAAGACUUGGUAUUGAAGAAGAUUUAGGGCUGGACUUUUAUCUUACAAGAGGUUUAGGUUUCCUUAUAUAUAAGCCCUUGUUUGAUCCCCAUUCUUUGGAAAAAAUGAAUUCUUCAACAGUGUUUUGAUA